AGACCCGAAACCCGGUGAUCUAGCCAUGGGCAGGUUGAAGGUUGGGUAACACUAACUGGAGGACCGAACCGACUAAUGUUGAAAAAUUAGCGGAUGACCUGUGGCUGGGGGUGAAAGGCCAAUCAAACCGGGAGAUAGCUGGUUCUCCCCGAAAGCUAUUUAGGUAGCGCCUCGUGAAUUCAUCUCCGGGGGUAGAGCACUGUUUCGGCUAGGGGGCCAUCCCGGCUUACCAACCCGAUGCAAACUGCGAAUACCGGAGAAUGUUAUCACGGGAGACACACGGCGGGUGCUAACGUCCGUCGUGAAGAGGGAAACAACCCAGACCGCCAGCUAAGGUCCCAAAGUCAUGGUUAAGUGGGAAACGAUGUGGGAAGGCCCAGACAGCCAGGAUGUUGGCUUAGAAGCAGCCAUCAUUUAAAGAAAGCGUAAUAGCUCACUGGUCGAGUCGGCCUGCGCGGAAGAUGUAACGGGGCUAAACCAUGCACCGAAGCUGCGGCAGCGACACUCAGGUGUUGUUGGGUAGGGGAGCGUUCUGUAAGCCUGUGAAGGUGGCCUGUGAGGGUUGCUGGAGGUAUCAGAAGUGCGAAUGCUGACAUAAGUAACGAUAAAGCGGGUGAAAAGCCCGCUCGCCGGAAGACCAAGGGUUCCUGUCCAACGUUAAUCGGGGCAGGGUGAGUCGACCCCUAAGGCGAGGCCGAAAGGCGUAGUCGAUGGGAAACGG
rnacentral:rRNA from 1 species